rnacentral:hammerhead_ribozyme from 1 species
AUCCAGCCGACGAGUUCCAAAUAGGACGAAACGCGCGUCCUAGAU